AAGACUAGACUUUCAGCGAUCAUUUCUAUAGGUUAUUACUAGAGAACUUUCUCUAAACAGGUAGAGCACCCAAAACCGUGAGGAGUUGGUUCAGUGUUCUCUCCUGAGCAUGGAGCUGGCGUGUUUUCGCUGCAAUGGCCAUUUGCCAUUUGUUUGUUCUUCUUCUCUUCUUCUUGGACAUUAAAGGAAGAGAACAGAACCUGAGUAGU
rnacentral:snoRNA from 1 species